ACGGAAGCGAAGAUUAUGUAGUCGGCACCGCCACAUUGUGCUAGUGCGUUUGGCGUAUUAACAUUUGCUGGGCGUGGCGUAGGAAAAGCAGUUCCUUAGCGAUCGAUGUUAGGUGCGAAUUUCGGUUGAUCUUAGAGUAUAUAAUUAGACACUUAAUAGUGGAGAACAAACUUAAUAUGACCGUAUCCGAGCCAGCAUAUUUCCUUGGAUCGAAAUGCCGUUUAUAAUAAGUUAUGAAUCAGAAUCAACGACGUUGAAUGAGGUGUUCUGCGGCAUGUGAUGCCGUAGCCAAGGCGACCGCAGCAGCAGACAACUGACAAUCCGCUGCUCGUCGUCAACAAUAUUCUAGCGUGGAUAUUCCAGUUCGUUUCCACGGUGAUUUGCAGCGUCGACCUCGAGAAAUCCUGGACGUCGUCAAGACACCUGUCAAGGAAGCCGAUAGACUAGAGGCCACGAGUUUGUUCGUCAUUCAUGAAAACAGAUACAUCCCUUCUAAAGCGAGAAGCCGGAGGUGGUGAUUCGGUGGCUGCGGAGAGAGUAGAGGGUGUGAUCACCAUGACUACGACGGGAGCCCAGUAUACUCUUGCUACCUCUACGGGGGUAGGUAAUGGCGGGGGCAGUGGUAGCGGAGUAGGAGUAGAUUCCAAGUCUGGCAUUGUCGUUGUAACCACCUCGAGCUCUAAUGGUAGUGGGAGCGCAGCUCAAACUCAAUCCACCAGGGGUCAGCAAUUAAUCACCGUAGUCACCAGUCCAGAUCCUUCCAGCCCUAAUAGCCUUCAAGUCCAACCCAUCCAGUUGUUGGUUCAGGACUCACUCGAAACAGCUGCAGAUUCCUCAAACGGCUCAUCAGGCACUUCCGCACAUGUUACUGCGCAAGUUGUAGUGAAUACUACACAUUCUGGUCAACACACCCUUGUUGAUACCGAUACAGGUUCUACUGCUACUGGGACGAUUGUUAGUGGAUCACCACACUACAUUACUGUUACAGGCACCAGUGAUUCACCAUCCUACGCGUCCCUCACAACGGCUGUAGUGUCAGGUGACUCCGAGGCAGUGGGUUCCGAGUCUGUAUCACACCCGACAUAUGUCCAGUAUGUCGAGGGGGAUACUUCAACAUAUAUACCAACCAAUGGACAGAUGACAUAUCCAGUAUAUGCUGUCGGCGAGGCAGGGGCCAUGUACACCCCUGCUUCGAGUCAGUAUUACACACCUGCUUCAACACCAGUUACUUAUACCCAGGUCACAGGACAAGGAUCGAGUGCCACAGCCGGGCAGCUACUGUCCCAGGGGAAUGGGACUUAUUUGAUUCAACAGAGUGUCGUAGAUGGCGACCCUACAACGCACGCACUUAUUUCGGCAGCUGCAGCUCGAGCUAGUCCCCAAACUGAAAAUGCUCAGGAGAUAUGCUCUCAGGAGGCAGUGGUUAGCGGGGGUGGAGGGACAUACCUGAUCAGCGGAAAUGCAGGUGGCACGGCAGUUAGCGUGGAAGAGGCUGCUGCUGCUGCAGCUAACAUCACGCAUGCUACUAGAGUCUCCCAGGCCACCGUAAGCCAUAUCGACUCGCCAUUUGUACAAUGGCUGUUGGAAAAUUAUGAAACAGCAGAUGGUGUGUCUCUUCCAAGAUCAACGCUUUAUAAUCACUACUUACGUCAUUGCUCAGACAAUAAAUUGGACCCUGUGAAUGCGGCGAGUUUUGGCAAAUUAAUUCGCUCAGUAUUUUUAGGACUAAGAACUAGACGAUUGGGCACUCGGGGGAACUCUAAAUAUCAUUAUUAUGGAAUUCGUGUGAAACCAAGUUCACCAUUGAUAAUGUUGAAUGAAGAUGGUACGUCACGUCAGCAUCAAGCAUCAAAUGCUCAAGCAAAGCGAUUCAAAUUUGUGAAUACGAAACAAGAAUAUGAUGGCAAUACUCAUGUGAACACGAAUAUUUCUAACAACACUUCUCCACCACAAUAUCAUCAAUAUUUGGGUGAGGCAAGUGGUGCCAUUCCUGAGUUCCCUGAAAUUGACGUUGGUCACGGAUCAGCCUUGCCUGAUGAUUGUACAUUAGAAGAUAUUGACACGUUCCGCAGUAUAUACAGGGAGCAUUGCGAGGCCUUCUUAGAUGCAGUUUUGACUUUUGAAUUUACAACAGUCGAAAGUCUAUGGCGAGAAUUUUGGCGCAGUCAAGAUAAUAAUAAUGGAGAUGAGUGUGAGGAAGAAAAGUAUCUGUCCAAGACUAAACUUUAUCAAAUGUGUAAGUGCUCAGCAGUUCAGGACUUCAUUAGGAGAGUUGAUUAUACAUUCUACCAGAAUCUUGUCGAAGUACUUAUGCCAGAUGUCUUACGUCCCAUUCCGAGUUCCCUCACUCAGUCAAUAAGAAACUUUGCAAAAGGUCUUGAAUCCUGGUUGACUUCGGCUAUGAAUGAUUGUCCAGAAGAGAUGAUGCAAAUCAAACUCACAGCUGUGUCAGCAUUUGCACAAACUUUGCGACGGUAUACAUCAUUAAAUCAUCUUGCUCAGGCCGCUCGUGCCGUACUCCAAAACUCUAGUCAAAUUAAUCAAAUGCUGGCAGACUUAAAUCGCGUUGAUUUUCACAACGUUCAAGAGCAGGCAUCGUGGGUUUGUCAGUGUGAUUAUGCGGUUGUGCAACGACUGGAAGCUGACUUCAAAGUUACACUACAGCAACAAAAUUCACUAGAGCAAUGGGCAGUGUGGUUGAAAGGCGUUGUCACGCAGAUACUUAAACCCUAUGAGGGAAAGCCAACUUUUGCAAAAGCUGCACGUCAAUUUUUAUUGAAAUGGUCAUUCUACAGUUCCAUGGUCAUUAGAGAUCUUACACUAAGAAGUGCUGCAAGUUUUGGUUCAUUCCAUCUGAUACGGCUACUAUAUGAUGAAUACAUGUUUUAUUUAAUUGAACAUCAAGUGGCAAUUGCGACUGGUACAACACCUAUAGCAGUAAUGGGUGAUAAGAGUCAAAGCUGUUCGCUAAUCAAUGCAUUUGGGGCUACAUCGAAUGGAGGUCUCCCUAUUACGUAUGUAGAUGUGGAUAUGGCAACGCUGGAGGUUAAACAGGUACUAACAUAAUAUACAUAGAUACAUCGAGCGCCAGCCAAUCAAAGCGCAUAAAGUUGUGCUAACCGUGCAUCAUUGCUUGUUCAAAUUUAUUUGGAGAUAGUUCG
rnacentral:misc_RNA from 1 species